CAGCAGCCGCGGUAAUACGUAGGUGGCAAGCGUUGUCCGGAAUUAUUGGGCGUAAAGGGCUCGCAGGCGGUUUCUUAAGUCUGAUGUGAAAGCCCCCGGCUCAACCGGGGAGGGUCAUUGGAAACUGGGAAGCUUGAGUGCAGAAGAGGAGAGUGGAAUUCCACGUGUAGCGGUGAAAUGCGUAGAGAUGUGGAGGAACACCAGUGGUGAAGGCGACUCUCUGGUCUGUAACUGACGCUGAGGAGCGAAAGCGUGGGGAGCGAACAGGAUUAGAUACCCGUGUAGUCCCUGUCUCUUAUAC
rnacentral:rRNA from 1 species